GACGAACGCUGGCGGCGUGCUUAACACAUGCAAGUCGAACGGAAAGGCCCCUUUGGUGGUCCUAGAGUGGCGAACGGGUGCGUAACACGUGAGUAACCUGCCCUUGACUUCGGGAUAACUUCAGGACACUGGGGCUAAUACCGGAUAGGACUCAUUGCUGCAUGGUGGGGGUUGGAAAUCUCCGGCGGUUUUGGUUGGCCUCGCGGCUUAUACGCUUGUUGUUGGGGUAGUGGCUUACCCAGGCUUUGACGGGUAUCAGGCCUGAGAGUGCGACCGGCCGCAUUGGGACUGAGAGACGGCCCAGACGCCUACGGGUGGCAGCAGUGGGGAAUAUUGCACAAGGGGCGGAAGCCUGAUGCAGCAGCGCCGCGGGCGGGAUAACGGCCUUGGGGUUGUAAACCGCUUUCAGCAGGGGCGAAGCUUGUGGUGACGGUACCUGCAGAAGAAGCACCGGCUAACUACGUG
rnacentral:rRNA from 1 species